rnacentral:tRNA from 1 species
GUCGGCGUGGCUUAGCGGCAAGAGCCCGGGCUUGGGAGUCAGAGGUCGUGGGUUCGAAUCCCGCCUCCGCCC